rfam:Ictidomys tridecemlineatus contig071262, whole genome shotgun sequence.
GGUGUUGUGGCUCAGCAGUAGAGCACUCGCCUGGUAUGUGCAAGGCCCUGGGUUCGAUUCUCAGCACCACAU